GCCAAAGGGGUUGCAGUGCCAAGACUGGGGCAGAGAGGAGACACGGCCAGGGACAGGACUGCGUGACCCAAGGCAGCAGUGAUCCACCCUAUACUCCUGACAGUCAUGGAGUCAUGCAAGAUGGAUACGCAGUGUGCUAGCACAUUCUGGCAGAGAUUCAUAUCAUACUGGGAACAAGUUGCCAAGAGAAGCUGUGGACUCUCCAUCCAAGACUUCGCUGGACAAGGUCCUGAGCAAUCCAGCACUCCCUUUGAAACUGGCCCUGCUUUGAGAAGGGGGCUGGACCAGAGGACCCUCCCCAC